rnacentral:rRNA from 1 species
CCUACGGGUGGCAGCAGUGAGGAAUAUUGGUCAAUGGACGAGAGUCUGAACCAGCCAAGUAGCGUGAAGGAUGACUGCCCUAUGGGUUGUAAACUUCUUUUAUAUGGGAAUAAAAUGUUCCACGUGUGGGAUUUUGUAUGUACCAUAUGAAUAAGGAUCGGCUAACUCCGUGCCAGCAGCCGCGGUAAUACGGAGGAUCCGAGCGUUAUCCGGAUUUAUUGGGUUUAAAGGGAGCGUAGGUGGAUUGUUAAGUCAGUUGUGAAAGUUUGCGGCUCAACCGUAAAAUUGCAGUUGAAACUGGCAGUCUUGAGGACAGUAGAGGUGGGCGGAAUUCGUGGUGUAGCGGUGAAAUGCUUAGAUAUCACGAAGAACUCCGAUUGCGAAGGCAGUUCACUGGACUGCAACUGACACUGAGGCUCGAAAGUGUGGGUAUCAAACAGGAUUAGAUACCCUUGUAGU